CCUACGGGAGGCAGCAGUGAGGAAUAUUGGUCAAUGGGCGUAAGCCUGAACCAGCCAAGUCGCGUGAGGGAUGAAGGUUCUAUGGAUUGUAAACCUCUUUUAUAAGGGAAUAAAGUGCGGGACGUGUCCCGUUUUGUAUGUACCUUAUGAAUAAGGAUCGGCUAACUCCGUGCCAGCAGCCGCGGUACUACGGAGGAGCCGAGCGUUGUCCGGAUUUAUUGGGUUUAAAGGGUGCGUAGGUGGACUGUUAAGUCAGCUGUGAAAUUCUGUGGCUCAACCAUAGAAUUGCCGUUGAAACUGGCAGGCUUGAGUAUGGUUGAGGCAGGCGGAAUUCGUGGUGUAGCGGUGAAAUGCUUAGAUAUCACGCAGAACCCCGAUUGCGAAGGCAGCCUGCCAAACCAUGACUGACGCUGAUGCACGAAAGCGUGGGGAUCAAACAGGAUUAGAUACCCCGGUAGUC
rnacentral:rRNA from 1 species